CACACUAUCAUUAACUGAAUCCAUAGGUUAAUGAGGCGAACCGGGGGAACUGAAACAUCUAAGUACCCCGAGGAAAAGAAAUCAACCGAGAUUCCCCCAGUAGCGGCGAGCGAACGGGGAGCAGCCCAGAGCCUGAAUCAGUGUGUGUGUUAGUGGAAGCGUCUGGAAAGGCGCGCGAUACAGGGUGACAGCCCCGUACACAAAAAUGCACAUGCUGUGAGCUCGAUGAGUAGGGCGGGACACGUGGUAUCCUGUCUGAAUAUGGGGGGACCAUCCUCCAAGGCUAAAUACUCCUGACUGACCGAUAGUGAACCAGUACCGUGAGGGAAAGGCGAAAAGAACCCCGGCGAGGGGAGUGAAAAAGAACCUGAAACCGUGUACGUACAAGCAGUGGGAGCACAGAGCAAUCUGUGUGACUGCGUACCUUUUGUAUAAUGGGUCAGCGACUUAUAUUCUGUAGCAAGGUUAACCGAAUAGGGGAGCCGAAGGGAAACCGAGUCUUAACUGGGCGUUAAGUUGCAGGGUAUAGACCCGAAACCCGGUGAUCUAGCCAUGGGCAGGUUGAAGGUUGGGUAACACUAACUGGAGGACCGAACCGACUAAUGUUGAAAAAUUAGCGGAUGACUUGUGGCUGGGGGUGAAAGGCCAAUCAAACCGGGAGAUAGCUGGUUCUCCCCGAAAGCUAUUUAGGUAGCGCCUCGUGAAUUCAUCUCCGGGGGUAGAGCACUGUUUCGGCAAGGGGGUCAUCCCGACUUACCAACCCGAUGCAAACUGCGAAUACCGGAGAAUGUUAUCACGGGAGACACACGGCGGGUGCUAACGUCCGUCGUGAAGAGGGAAACAACCCAGACCGCCAGCUAAGGUCCCAAAGUCAUGGUUAAGUGGGAAACGAUGUGGGAAGGCCCAGACAGCCAGGAUGUUGGCUUAGAAGCAGCCAUCAUUUAAAGAAAGCGUAAUAGCUCACUGGUCGAGUCGGCCUGCGCGGAAGAUGUAACGGGGCUAAACCAUGCACCGAAGCUGCGGCAGCGACGCUUAUGCGUUGUUGGGUAGGGGAGCGUUCUGUAAGCCUG
rnacentral:rRNA from 1 species